AUUCCUGCUGGAAUAAUGGACUGCCCUGAUCCCAUUCCCACUGGGAUCAGGGAUUGCUGGGAUCCCAUUCCCGCUGGGAUC